UCAAGCUACAAAGGGCGCAUGGUGAAUGCCUUGGCAUCAGGAGCCGAUGAAGGACGUGAUAAGCUGCGAUAAGCUUCGGGUAGGCGCACAUAGCCAGUGAUCCGGAGAUUUCCGAAUGAGGGAACUCACAUGGGAAACCCCAUGUACCGUAUAGUGAAUACAUAGCUAUACGGAGGUAAACCUAGGGAACUGAAACAUCUAAGUACCUAGAGGAAGAGAAAGAAAAAUCGAUUUUCUGAGUAGCGGCGAGCGAAAGGGAAAGAGCCCAAACCAGUGACUUGUCACUGGGGUUGCGGACAGAACAUUAACGAGAAGAUGUUGUUAACCGAAUAUAACUGGAAAGUUAGACCGUAGGAGGUAAUAGUCCUGUAGGUGAAAGCGACAUUGAUCAAGUUCUGAUCCAGAGUACCACGAGACACGUGAAACCUUGUGGGAAGCAGGGAGGACCACCUCCCAAGGCUAAAUACUACCUGAUGACCGAUAGUGAAGCAGUACCGUGAGGGAAAGGUGAAAAGAACCCCGGGAGGGGAGUGAAAUAGAACCUGAAACCGUGUGCCUACAACCGGUCAAAGCCCCAUAUGAGGGUGAUGACGUGCUUUUUGUAGAACGAGCCAACGAGUUACGGUAUGUAGCAAGGUUAAGUACUUAAGGUACGGAGCCGAAGGGAAACCGAGUCUUAAUAGGGCGACUAGUUGCAUGCCGUAGACCCGAAACCGGGUGACCUAUCCAUGGCCAGGUUGAAGCGAGGGUAAAACCUCGUGGAGGACCGAACCACGUUGCUGUUGAAAAAGCAUGGGAUGAGCUGUGGAUAGCGGAGAAAUUCCAAUCGAACUCGGAGAUAGCUGGUUCUCCCCGAAAUAGCUUUAGGGCUAGCGUCGGAUAUGUGUAGUGGAGGUAGAGCACUGAAUGGGCUAGGGGGCAUAUCGCUUACCGAACCUUAUCAAACUCCGAAUGCCAUAUACAUUUAGUCCGGCAGUCAGACUACGAAUGAUAAGAUCCGUGGUCAAAAGGGAAACAGCCCAGAUCGUCAGCUAAGGUCCCAAAGUGUAAGUUAAGUGGAAAAGGAUGUGGGAUUUCUAAGACAACUAGGAUGUUGGCUUAGAAGCAGCCACUCAUUUAAAGAGUGCGUAAUAGCUCACUAGUCGAGAGAUCCUGCGCCGAAAAUGUCCGGGGCUAAAACUUACCACCGAAGCUACGGGCUUGCGUAAGCAAGCGGUAGGGGAGCGUCGUAAUCGGGCUGAAGUCGUACCGUAAGGAGCGGUGGACUGAUUACGAGUGAGAAUGUUGGCAUUAGUAGCGAGAUGUAGGUGAGAAUCCUACAGGCCGAAUAUCUAAGGUUUCCUCAGGAAGGCUCGUCCGCUGAGGGUUAGUCGGGACCUAAGCCGAGGCCGAAAGGCGUAGGCGAUGGACAACAGGUUGAUAUUCCUGUACCACUACCAUCGUUAUUAUCGAGGGUGUGACGGAGAAGGAUAGUGUGUGCUAGCGAUUGGAAAUGCUAGUCUAAGCGUUUAGGCAGUUACGGUAGGCAAAUCCGCUGUAAUGUUAAUGCUGAGGCGUGAUGGGGAAGGCCCUUGAGGCUGAAGUACAUGAUUCCAUGCUUCCAAGAAAAGCAUCUAGAGAGAGAAGUAGUGCCCGUACCGCAAACCGACACAGGUAGAUGAGGAGAGAAUCCUAAGGCCGGCGGAAGAAUUGCAGUUAAGGAACUAGGCAAAUUGACCCCGUAAGUUAGCGAGAAGGGGUGCCUACGAGAGUAGGCCGCAGAGAAUAGGCCCAAGCAACUGUUUAGCAAAAACACAGGUCUCUGCUAAAGCGCAAGCUGAUGUAUAGGGGCUGACGCCUGCCCGGUGCUGGAAGGUUAAGGGGAACACUUAGCGCAAGCGAAGGUGUGAACUUAAGCCCCAGUAAACGGCGGCCGUAACUAUAACGGUCCUAAGGUAGCGAAAUUCCUUGUCAGGUAAG
rnacentral:rRNA from 1 species